UGGGGANUCUUCCGCAAUGGACGAAAGUCUGACGGAGCAACGCCGCGUGAGUGAUGAAGGUCUUCGGAUUGUAAAGCUCUGUUAAUCGGGACGAAAGAGUUCUGUGUGAAUAAUGCAGAAAAGUGACGGUACCGGAAUAGAAAGCCACGGCUAACUACGUGCCAGCAGCCGCGGUAAUACGUAGGUGGCAAGCGUUGUCCGGAAUUAUUGGGCGUAAAGCGCGCGCAGGCGGCCUAUCCAGUCUGUCUUAAAAGUUCGGGGCUCAACCCCGUGAUGGGAUGGAAACUAGUAGGCUAGAGUAUCGGAGAGGAAAGCGGAAUUCCUAGUGUAGCGGUGAAAUGCGUAGAUAUUAGGAAGAACACCAGUGGCGAAGGCGGCUUUCUGGACGAAAACUGACGCUGAGGCGCGAAAGCCAGGGGAGCGAACGGGAUUAGAUACCCCGGUAGUCCUGGCCGUAAACGAUGGGUACUAGGUGUAGGAGGUAUCGACCCCUUCUGUGCCGGAGUUAACGCAAUAAGUACCCCGCCUGGGGAGUACGGUCGCAAGGCUG
rnacentral:rRNA from 1 species